UCCAGGCGCAGGGGAGCGCCGGAGCACCCGGGGCUGAGUCCCAGUGACUUUUACGGAGCACUUUCCUACCUAACCUUGUGCACACAGACGGGGAUUCUGCACCUGCCUCGGGGACAGUCUGGCAGCAGCCCUUGCUGUGCCUCAGGGGACAAGGAAGUCACCCAUAGCCACUAGGAAAUUGGAUCAUGGCAAAAUUAGCAACAAAUCUGUAAAGGAAACGGAAGGCAGUUUGAUGGGAGCUCUGAUGACAGUCCCACAAAAGUCGAAGAAGUGCGUCUGUCUCCACAGGAGAUGAUGGUCGUGCCCGACAAUGCGGACCUGAUUCAGAGGUUUGGGCAAAGUGCCAGUGGUGUACUCUUCACUGCCGAGGAACGCAUCACACGACAGAGUCCCGGCCACCAUUCGGCAGGU